rnacentral:rRNA from 1 species
CCUACGGGAGGCAGCAGUGAGGAAUAUUGGUCAAUGGACGAGAGUCUGAACCAGCCAAGUCGCGUGAAGGAUGACUGCCCUAUGGGUUGUAAACUUCUUUUGUAAGGGAAUAAAACGAGGCACGUGUGCCUUUUUGCAUGUACUUUAUGAAUAAGGAUCGGCUAACUCCGUGCCAGCAGCCGCGGUAAUACGGAGGAUCCGAGCGUUAUCCGGAUUGAUUGGGUUUAAAGGGAGCGUAGAUGGGUUGUUAAGUCAGUUGUGAAAGUUUGCGGCUCAACCGUAAAAUUGCAAUUGAUACUGGCAGUCUUGAGUACAGUUGAGGUAGGCGGAAUGCGUGGUGUAGCGGUGAAAUGCUUAGAUAUCACGAAGAACCCCGAUUGCGAAGGCAGCUUACUAAACUGUGACUGACAUUGAUGCGCGAAAGUGUGGGUAUCAAACAGGAUUAGAUACCCUUGUAGUC